rnacentral:tRNA from 1 species
GGGGUUGUAGCUCAAUUGGGAGAGCGCUGCGUUCGCAAUGCAGAGGCAGAGGGUUCAAAUCCCUUCAACUCCA